UCAGGAUGAACGCUAGCGACAGGCCUAACACAUGCAAGUCGAGGGGCAGCACAGGAGCAAUCUGAGGUGGCGACCGGCGCACGGGUGAGUAACACGUAUGCAACCUGCCUGUAAGCGGGGAAUAACCCGUUGAAAGACGGACUAAUACCGCAUAAUACUAAAUUACUGCAUGGUAAUUUAUUUAAACAUUUAUGGCUUACAGAUGGGCAUGCGCAUGAUUAGCUAGUUGGAGAGGUAACGGCUCCCCAAGGCAACGAUCAUUAGGGGUUCUGAGAGGAAGGUCCCCCACACUGGUACUGAGACACGGACCAGACUCCUACGGGAGGCAGCAGUGAGGAAUAUUGGUCAAUGGACGAGAGUCUGAACCAGCCAAGUCGCGUGCAGGAAGAAUUGUCCUAUGGAUUGUAAACUGCUUUUGCAGGGGAAUAAAGUGCAUCACGUGUGAUGUUUUGUAUGUACUCUGCGAAUAAGGAUCGGCUAACUCCGUGCCAGCCGCCGC
rnacentral:rRNA from 1 species